rnacentral:rRNA from 1 species
AUGCAUGUCUCAGCACACGCCAAUGUAUGGUAAAGCCGCGAAUGGCUCAUUACAACAGCCCCAGUUUAUUAGAUCAUCCUUMUUACUUGGAUAACUGUGGAAAAGCUAGAGCUAAUACAUGCUACAAGCUCUGACCUUACGGAAGGAGCGCAUUUAUUAGAACAAAACCAAUCGGACUUUGUCCGUCAUUUGGUGAAUCUGAAUAACUAUGCAGAUCGCACGGUCUUAGAACCGGCGACAUAUCUUUCAAAUGUCUGCCUUAUCAACUUUCGAUGGURGUUUAUGCGCCUACCAUGGUUGUAACGGGUAACGAAGAAUCAGGGUUUGAUUUCGGAGAGGGAGCCUGAGAAACGGCUACCACAUCCAAGGAAGGCAGCAGGCACGCAAAUUACCCACUCCCGGCACGGGGAGGUAGUGACGAAACAUAACGAGGCGAUUCUCUACGAGACUCGCCAUCGGAAUGGGUACAAUCUAAAUCCUUUAACGAGGAUCUAUUGGAGGGCAAGUCUGGUGCCAGCAGCCGCGGUAAUUCCAGCUCCAAUAGCGUAUAUUAACGUUGUUGCGUUUAAAAARCUCGUAGUUGGAUCUGCGACCUAGGAUAGCGGUCUGCCAAACGGUGUGUACUGCUCUUUCUGGUCUUGUUGUCCGGUUUUCCCUUGAUGCUCUUUGUUGAGUGUCCUGGGUGGCUGGAGAGUUUACUUUGAAAAAAUUAAAGUGCUCAAAGCAGGCGGUCUGCCUGAAUAAUGGUGCAUGGAAUAAUGGAAUAGGACCUCGGUUCUAUUUUGUUGGUUUUCGGAGCACGAGGUAAUGAUUAAAAGGGACAGACGGGGGCAUUCGUAUUGUGGCGCUAGAGGUGAAAUUCUUGGACCGCCGCAAGACGAACUACUGCGAAAGCAUUUGCCAAGAAUG